AUGUGUUUUCGUCGUGGAUGAUUGGUUCUUCCGGCAUUCACUUUUGAUCUGAUCUCUGAUCCUCAUCACCAUUUUCGAGAUCUCAUCUUUUCGGAUUUGGGAUUGGGUUUAGCCACAGAACCAGAAAGCUUUUUCGGGCUUCUUUUGCUUGAUGAUAACGGGGAUUUUUAGAAGAAAAGGAAGUGGUCGAUCUGCUGCGUCCCAGGUUCGUUUCCAUAAUCGCCAUCGCCGAGUUGUGUUCAAUUGCCAACAUCGAGGUUUAACGAAGGCGCGUGUGUUUUUGUUCUGAAUUCUGCGUACAUUUGCCGCGUUCUUCCUGAUUUGAUCCAUAGAAGCGAAACUCCGCAUUGUUCCUUGGAUUCUGGUCACUGUUCAUGACCACCUUUUACGGGAGUUCGUGUUGAUUUUACCGAAUUUCCGUAGAUGUGAAUCGGGAUUGGCUAGAUCAGACAAUUAUUCAGUACGGGAAACUAUGUACGGAUGCAUAUGGAACUUGUUAGAAGCUUGUGUGUUAUGAAGAAAAGCUGAUGACAAACCCUCGGAUAAGAAAAGAAGAAUCCUUAGAUAGUAAAUUUGUAUUGAGGUAGCCAUUAACGGGGUUAAAGAAGAGGAGUUUUCGAUAUGAGAAGUCCCAGGUAUAAGGGCUUUCCCCUCAUUUUUGGUCCUAGACCACGGAUCAGCUGGUUGCUGUUAGUUAUUAUUGGUGUUGUUGCUCUAGUUACCAUCUUAGGAACAUCUACAUCAUCCAGUUCAUAUGAUUAUGCAACUUCAGCACGGAUACCCAGCUUUUAUAGCAACUACAGAAGGAUAAAGGAGCAAGCAGCUGUUGAUUAUCUGGAUCUAAGUUCUCUCUCUUUCGAGGCUAGUCGGUUUAAAGAGUUUCCCUUGUGUGGUAAAGAGAAGGAAAAUCAUGUACCUUGUUACAACGUAUCAUCCAAUAUGCUUGCUGGGCUUAAAGACGAUGAGGAGUUUGACCGACACUGUGAGCUUGAAAGAGAAGAGAAAAGAUGUGUAGUCCGACUGCCAAAGGACUAUAAGAUACCCCUUAGAUGGCCGCUUGGUAGAGAUAUUAUAUGGAGCGGAAAUGUGAAGAUAACCAAAGACCAGUUUCUUUCAUCAGGAACCAUGACAAAAAGGUUAAUGUUGCUUGAAGAGAAUCAAAUUGCAUUUCACUCAGAGGAUGGUUUGAUCUUUGAUGGCGUCAAAGACUAUGCCCGUCAAAUUGCAGAGAUGAUAGGCUUAGGAAGUGACACUGAAUUUCUCGAAGCAGGCGUACGGACUGUGCUAGACAUCGGUUGUGGCUUUGGUAGCUUUGGAGCACAUCUCGUGUCUUUGAAGUUGAUGCCUAUCUGUAUUGCAGAGUAUGAAGCCACUGGUAGCCAAGUCCAGUUAGCUCUAGAGAGAGGACUUCCUGCCAUGAUUGCCAAUUUCAUUUCGAAACAGCUUCCAUAUCCAGCUUUGUCGUUUGACAUGGUCCAUUGUGCUCAAUGUGGCAUUAUUUGGGAUAUAAAAGAUGCAAUGCUGCUCUUAGAAGUGGAUCGUGUUCUCAAGCCUGGGGGAUACUUUGUUUUAACUUCUCCUACGAGCAAAUCACAGGGAAAUUUGCCGAGUACUAAGAAAACAAGCAUCUCAACACGGGUUGAUGAGCUAUCUAAGAAUAUUUGCUGGAGUCUCAUUGCUCAGCAGGAUGAAACUUUUCUUUGGCAAAAGACAGCGGAUUCAAAUUGCUAUUCUUCUCGCCCGCAAGCUUCUAUACCUCUUUGCAAAGAUGGAGAGAGUAUUCCAUACUAUGGCCCCCUAGUUUCAUGUAUUAGUGGAACCACAAGCAAACGCUGGAUUUCUAUUCAGAACAGUUCCACUGCUUGGGGAACAAGACCAGCAGAGUUUGAAGUUCAUGGUAUCAAACCUGAAGAAUUCUUUGAGGACAUGCAAGUAUGGAGGCUAGCCCUGAAAAACUAUUGGUCUUUGCUUACACCUUUAAUUUUCUCAGACCACCCGAAGAGACCGGGUGAUGAAGAUCCACUCCCUCCUUUCAACAUGGUACGCAACGUGAUGGACAUGAAUGCACGUUAUGGGAAUUUGAAUGCCGCCCUGCUUGAAGAAGGAAAAUCUGCGUGGGUGAUGAAUGUGAUCCCAGUAAAUUCCCGCAAUACUCUUCCUAUGGUUCUUGAUCGUGGUUUUGCCGGUGUUCUUCAUGACUGGUGUGAACCAUUCCCCACAUAUCCUCGGACAUAUGAUAUGCUUCAUGCCAAUGAACUUCUCACCCAUCUUAGUUCAGAAAGGUGUAGCCUGAUGGACCUGUUCUUGGAGAUGGACCGGAUUCUCCGCCCUGAGGGAUGGGUUGUUAUCAGCGACAAGCUGGGGGUAAUAGAGAUGGCAAGAGCAUUUGCCACUAGAGUGCGAUGGGAAGCACGGGUCAUCGACAUUCAGGAUGGAAGUGACCAGCGGCUUCUCGUCUGUCAGAAACCUUUCCUGAAAAAGUAACUCAGGCGACAUCAACGUGCAUCUCUCACCCAUCAAACACAAAGUACAGUCUUCUUCACCUAGUGCUCUUCAGAAGACUGAGGGAACCAAAGAUGAGGAGGCUGUAGAAAAUGGAAAGUGAGGUCCACAGAGAAUAGAAGUAGAUUCAAGAUUCUUUGAUUUUUCUUUCCUUUUUUUUUCUGGACAAAACUGUAGCUUUAUUAUUUCCAUUCCAUUUUUUUUCAUCAUUCACAAUUUUUCCAUGUGUUUUUUUUUCUGCCUCCCUAUUGUUUUGCGAUGCCACUGAACAGUCAGAAGAAGUUGUAAUACCACUAGUUUUCGGCUGAAUAUGCUUCAAGCUCUACUUUCUCUUCA